rnacentral:lncRNA from 1 species
GAGUUCCAUGGGCUGUACAGGACAAGGUGUCACACUCUGCGCAGCACAGGGUGUCACACACAGCCCAGGACAGUGUCACACACUGCAAAACACAGAGUGUCACACACUGCCCAGGACGGUGUCACACACAGCCCAGGACGGUGUCACACACUGCACAGUGUGUCACACACAGCCCAGGAUGGUGUCACACACUGCACAGUGUGUCACACACAGCCCAGGACGGUGUCACACACUGCCCAGGACAGUGUCACACACAGCCCAGCACAGGCAGAGCCCGGGCAGCUCC